UGGGCCUAUAGCUCAGUUGGUUAGAGCGCACGCCUGAUAAGCGUGAGGUCGAUGGUUCGAGUCCAUUUAGGCCCAU
rnacentral:tRNA from 6 species